rnacentral:rRNA from 1 species
GGAGCUUGCUCCUUCGACGUUAGCGGCGGACGGGUGAGUAACACGUGGGCAACCUACCCUAUAGUUUGGGAUAACUCCGGGAAACCGGGGCUAAUACCGAAUAAUUUGUUUCACCUCAUGGUGAAACACUGAAAGACGGUUUCGGCUGUCGCUAUAGGAUGGGCCCGCGGCGCAUUAGCUAGUUGGUGAGGUAACGGCUCACCAAGGCGACGAUGCGUAGCCGACCUGAGAGGGUGAUCGGCCACACUGGGACUGAGACACGGCCCAGACUCCUACGGGAGGCAGCAGUAGGGAAUCUUCCACAAUGGGCGAAAGCCUGAUGGAGCAACGCCGCGUGAGUGAAGAAGGAUUUCGGUUCGUAAAACUCUGUUGUAAGGGAAGAACAAGUACAGUAGUAACUGGCUGUACCUUGACGGUACCUUAUUAGAAAGCCACGGCUAACUACGUGCCAGCAGCCGCGGUAAUACGUAGGUGGCAAGCGUUGUCCGGAAUUAUUGGGCGUAAAGCGCGCGCAGGUGGUUUCUUAAGUCUGAUGUGAAAGCCCACGGCUCAACCGUGGAGGGUCAUUGGAAACUGGGAG